GGAGUUAGCCGGUGCUUCUUCUGCGAGUAACGUCACAGCUAGCAGGUAUUAACUACUAACCUUUCCUCCUCGCUGAAAGUGCUUUACAACCCGAAGGCCUUCUUCACACACGCGGCAUGGCUGCAUCAGGGUUUCCCCCAUUGUGCAAUAUUCCCCACUGCUGCCUCCCGUAGGAGUCUGGGCCGUGUCUCAGUCCCAGUGUGGCUGAUCAUCCUCUCAGACCAGCUAGGGAUCGUUGCCUAGGUGAGCCAUUACCUCACCUACUAGCUAAUCCCACCUGGGCUUAUCCAUCAGUGCAAGGACCGAAGUUCCCCUGCUUUCCCCCGUAGGGCGUAUGCGGUAUUAGCAGUCGUUUCCAACUGUUAUCCCCCACAAAUGGGCAAAUUCCCAGGCAUUACUCACCCGUCCGCCGCUCGUCAUCUUCAAAAGCAAGCUUUUGAAAUGUUACCGCUCGACUUGCAUGUGUUAGGCCUGCCGCCAGCGUUCAAUCUGAGCCAGAAUCAAACUCUGA
rnacentral:rRNA from 1 species